rnacentral:rRNA from 1 species
AGUAUGUGGACGUAGACCCGAAACCGUGUGAUCUACCCCUGUCCAGGGUGAAGGUGCGGUAACACGCACUGGAGGCCCGAACCCACGUACGUUGAAAAGUGCGGGGAUGAGGUGGGGGUAGCGGAGAAAUUCCAAUCGAACUCGGAGAUAGCUGGUUCUCCCCGAAAUAGCUUUAGGGCUAGCCUCGGUAUAAGAGUAGUGGAGGUAGAGCACUGAUUGGGUGCGGGGUCCGCAAGGAUUACCAAGCUCAGUCAAACUCCGAAUGCCAUAUACUUAUUGCCGGGAGUCAGACAGUGAGUGCUAAGAUCCAUUGUCAAAAGGGAAACAGCCCAGACCAUCAGCUAAGGUCCCCAAGUGUGUGUUAAGUGGGAAAGGAUGUGGAGUUGCACAGACAACCAGGAUGUUGGCUUAGAAGCAGCCACCAUUGAAAGAGUGCGUAAUAGCUCACUGGUCGAGUGACUCUGCGCCGAAAAUGUAACGGGGCUAAACACACCACCGAAGCUAUGGCUAGAUACUAUGUAUCUGGGGUAGGGGAGCGUUGUGUAGGGGUUGAAGGUGUACUGAAAAGAGCGCUGGACACUACACAAGUGAGAAUGCCGGUAUGAGUAACGAAAAGAUCAGUGAGAAUCUGAUCCGCCGAAAGCCCAAGGUUUCCUGAGGAAGGCUCGUCCGCUCAGGGUAAGUCGGGACCUAAGGCGAGGCCGAAAGGCGUAGUCGAAGGACAACAGUUUGAAAUUACUGUACCACCGUAAUCCGCUAUGAGCGAUGGGGUGACGCAGGAGGGUAGUGACGCGGACUGAUGGAUGUCCGUCUAAGCAGUGAGGCUGAUGUGUAGGCAAAUCCGCACAUC